UGGGGAAUAUUGCACAAUGGGCGCAAGCCUGAUGCAGCCAUGCCGCGUGUAUGAAGAAGGCCUUCGGGUUGUAAAGUACUUUCAGCGGGGAGGAAGGUGUUGAGGCUAAUAACCUCAGCAAUUGACGUUACCCGCAGAAGAAGCACCGGCUAACUCCGUGCCAGCAGCCGCGGUAAUACGGAGGGUGCAAGCGUUAAUCGGAAUUACUGGGCGUAAAGCGCACGCAGGCGGUCUGUCAAGUCGGAUGUGAAAUCCCCGGGCUCAACCUGGGAACUGCAUUCGAAACUGGCAGGCUAGAGUCUUGUAGAGGGGGGUAGAAUUCCAGGUGUAGCGGUGAAAUGCGUAGAGAUCUGGAGGAAUACCGGUGGCGAAGGCGGCCACCUGGACAAAGACUGACGCUCAGGUGCGAAAGCGUGGGGAGCAAACA
rnacentral:rRNA from 1 species